UUCAUGCCUCGGGUGACGGUUUCUCCGCCAACUCCGCCAGGACCGGAAGGUAGCAACGGUAACGGAGAGCUGGGUACCCGGGGCACUUUAUU
rnacentral:SRP_RNA from 1 species